CCUACGGGAGGCAGCAGUAGGGAAUAUUGCUCAAUGGGGGAAACCCUGAAGCAGCAACGCCGCGUGGAGGAUGAAGGUUUUAGGAUUGUAAACUCCUUUUGUUAGAGAAGAUUAUGACGGUAUCUAACGAAUAAGCACCGGCUAACUCCGUGCCAGCAGCCGCGGUAAUACGGAGGGUGCACGCGUUACUCGGAAUCACUGGGCGUAAAGAGUGCGUAGGCGGGGUAAUAAGUCAGAUGUGAAAUCCUGUAGCUUAACUACAGAACUGCAUUUGAAACUGUUACUCUGGAGUGUGGGAGAGGUAGGUGGAAUUCUUGGUGUAGGGGUGAAAUGCGUAGAGAUCAAGAGGAAUACUCAUUGCGAAGGCGGCCUGCUGGAACAUUACUGACGCUGAUGCACGAAAGCGUGGGGAGCAAACAGGAUUAGAUACCCUUCUAGUC
rnacentral:rRNA from 1 species